rnacentral:rRNA from 1 species
GAUCCUGGCUCAGGAUGAACGCUGGCGGCGUGCUUAACACAUGCAAGUCGAGCGAAGCAAUCUAAGUGAAGUUUUCGGAUGGAUUUUGGAUUGACUGAGCGGGCGGACGGGUGAAGGUAACGCGUGGAUAACCUGCCUCACACAGGGGGAUAACAGUUAGAAAUGACUGCUAAUACCGCAUAAGCGCACGGCAUCGCAUGAUGCAGUGUGAAAAACUCCGGUGGUGUG